AAUGAACGCUGGCGGCAUGCCUAACACAUGCAAGUCGAACGAAGGCUUCGGCCUUAGUGGCGCACGGGUGCGUAACGCGUGGGAAUCUGCCCUUGGGUUCGGAAUAACAGUUAGAAAUGACUGCUAAUACCGGAUGAUGUCGUAAGACCAAAGAUUUAUCGCCCAGGGAUGAGCCCGCGUAGGAUUAGCUAGUUGGUGAGGUAAAAGCUCACCAAGGCGACGAUCCUUAGCUGGUCUGAGAGGAUGAUCAGCCACACUGGGACUGAGACACGGCCCAGACUCCUACGGGAGGCAGCAGUGGGGAAUAUUGGACAAUGGGCGAAAGCCUGAUCCAGCAAUGCCGCGUGAGUGAUGAAGGCCUUAGGGUUGUAAAGCUCUUUUACCCGGGAUGAUAAUGACAGUACCGGGAGAAUAAGCUCCGGCUAACUUCGUGCCAGCAGCCGCGGUAAAAC
rnacentral:rRNA from 1 species